UACGUAGGGGCCGAGCGUUGUCCGGAGUUACUGGGCGUAAAGCGCGCGCAGGCGGCUCGUCAAGCCUGACGUGAAAGCCCCCGGCUCAACCGGGGAGGGUCGUCGGGGACUGGCGAGCUUGAGGUCGGCAGGGGUUGGUGGAAUUCCCGGUGUAGUGGUGAAAUGCGUAGAGAUCGGGAGGAACACCCGUGGCGAAGGCGGCCAACUGGGCCGGACCUGACGCUGAGGAGCGAAAGCGUGGGGAGCGAACAGG
rnacentral:rRNA from 1 species